rnacentral:rRNA from 1 species
GGGGAAUUUUGGACAAUGGGCGCAAGCCUGAUCCAGCAAUGCCGCGUGCAGGAUGAAGGCCUUCGGGUUGUAAACUGCUUUUGUACGGAACGAAAAGCCUCUCUCUAAUACAGGGGGGUGAUGACGGUACCGUAAGAAUAAGCACCGGCUAACUACGUGCCAGCAGCCGCGGUAAUACGUAGGGGGCAAGCGUUGUCCGGAUUUAUUGGGCGUAAAGGGUGCGUAGGCGGCCUUUUAAGUCAGAUGUGAAAGGUCACGGCUCAACCGUGGUAAGCAUUUGAAACUGGAAGGCUUGAGUUAAGGAGAGGAAAGUGGAAUUCCUAGUGUAGCGGUGAAAUGCGUAGAUAUUAGGAGGAAUACCAGUGGCGAAGGCGACUUUCUGGACUUAUACUGACGCUGAUGCACGAAAGCGUGGGGAGCGAACA